rnacentral:rRNA from 1 species
UGCAUACACAUGCAGUCGAACGCUUCUUUUUCCACACGGAGCUUGCUCCACCGGAAAAAGAGGAAUGGCUAACGGGUGAUUAACACGUGGGUAACCUGCCCAUCAUAAGGGGAUAACACUUGGAAACAGGUGCUAAUACCGUAUAACAAUCAAAACCGCGAGGUUUUGAUUUGAAAGGCGCUUUCGGGUGUCUCUGAUGGAUGGACCCGCGGUGCAUUAACUAGUUGGUGAGGUAACAGCUCACCAUGGCCACAAUGCAUAACCGACCUGAGAGGGUGAUCGACCACAUUGGGACUGAGACACGGCCCAAACUCCUACAGGAGGCAACAGUAGGGAAUCUUCUGAAAUGGACGAAAGUCUGACCGAGCAACGCCGCGUGAGUGAAGAAGGUUUUCGGAUCGUAAAACUCUGUUGUUAGAGAAGAACAAGGAUGAAAGUAACUGUUCAUCCCUUGACGGUAUCUAACCAGAAAGCCACGGCUAACUACGUGCCAGCAGCCGCGGUAAUACGUAGGUGGCAAGCGUUGUCCGGAUUUAUUGGGCGGAAAGCGAGCGCAGGCGGUUUCUUAAGUCUGAUGUGAAAGCCCCCGGCUCAACCGGGGAGGGUCAUUGGAAACUGGGAGACUUGAGUGCAUAAGAGGAGAGUGGAAUUCCGUGUGUAGCGGUGAAAUGCGUACAUAUAUGGAGGAACACCACUGGCCAAAGCGGCUCUCUGGUCUGUAACUGACGCUGAAGCUCACAAGCGUGGGGAGCAAACAGGAUUACAUACCCUGGUAGUCCACGCCGUAGACGAUGACUGCUAAGUGUUGGAGGGUUUCCGCCCUUCAUUGCUGCAGCUAACGCAUUAAGCACUCCGCCUGGGGAGUACGACCGCAAGGUUGAAACUCACAGGAAUUGACGGGGGCCCGCACAAGCGGUGGAGCAUGUGGUUUAAUUCGUAGCAACGCGAAGAACCUUACCAGGUCUUGACAUCCUUUGACCACUCUAUAGAUAGAGCUUCCCCUUCGGGCGGCAAGUGAUCGUCGGUGCAUGUUGUCGUAAGCUCGUGUAGUGAGCUGAUCGAGCUAAGUCCCUGCGACGAUGCGUCACCAGUUAUUGAUUAGCUGCAUCAUCAGUAGAGCCACCUCUAGCAAGACUGCAGGUUGACUAACGGUGAGGCAACGGAUGUCGACUGACGCUCAAUCCAGUCAUGGCCUCACGACCUUGGCUACGCAGCUACAUGGGGAUGUCAGCGGAUUCGCAAGUCACUCGCAGGCU